rnacentral:rRNA from 1 species
GACGAACGCUGGCGGCGUGCCUAAUACAUGCAAGUCGAACGAGAGCAACCGGUGCUUGCACUGGUCAAUCUAGUGGCGAACGGGUGAGUAACACGUGGGUAACCUGCCCAUCAGAGGGGGAUAACAUCCGGAAACGGAUGCUAAAACCGCAUAGGUCUUCGAACCGCAUGGUUUGAAGAGGAAAAGGGGCGCAAGCUUCUGCUGAUGGAUGGACCCGCGGUGCAUUAGCUAGUUGGUGAGGUAACGGCUCACCAAGGCCGUGAUGCAUAGCCGACCUGAGAGGGUGAUCGGCCACAUUGGGACUGAGACACGGCCCAAACUCCUACGGGAGGCAGCAGUAGGGAAUCUUCCGCAAUGGACGCAAGUCUGACGGAGCAACGCCGCGUGAGUGAAGAAGGUUUUCGGAUCGUAAAACUCUGUUGUUAGAGAAGAACAAGUGCUAGAGUAACUGUUAGCGCCUUGACGGUAUCUAACCAGAAAGCCACGGCUAACUACGUG